CACUCCUACGGGAGGCAGCAGUGGGGAAUUUUGGACAAUGGGCGAAAGCCUGAUCCAGCAAUGCCGCGUGUGUGAAGAAGGCCUUCGGGUUGUAAAGCACUUUUGUCCGGAAAGAAAUCCUUGGCUCUAAUACAGUCGGGGGAUGACGGUACCGGAAGAAUAAGCACCGGCUAACUACGUGCCAGCAGCCGCGGUAAUACGUAGGGUGCGAGCGUUAAUCGGAAUUACUGGGCGUAAAGCGUGCGCAGGCGGUUUGCUAAGACCGAUGUGAAAUCCCCGGGCUCAACCUGGGAACUGCAUUGGUGACUGGCAGGCUAGAGUAUGGCAGAGGGGGGUAGAAUUCCACGUGUAGCAGUGAAAUGCGUAGAGAUGUGGAGGAAUACCGAUGGCGAAGGCAGCCCCCUGGGCCAAUACUGACGCUCAUGCACAAAAGCGUGGGGAGCAAACAGGAUUAGAAACCCGGGUAGUCCCAUGA
rnacentral:rRNA from 1 species